rnacentral:siRNA from 1 species
GUGAAUCGGAGGCGGGGUAC